AACUUUUACUGUUCAAUCUGUUCUGGACAAAACAUAAAGAUGUGUCUUGGUUUUAUAUCAGAAAUAUAAUCAUCUAUCAUGUCCGAAGAAAACAUUAUUUCUUUUAAUCGCCCUGUCCCUCAGUCUGUGGCAGAUAGAGAGGGAAGAAAAUGUCUCUUCGUUAUCAAAUGCAUUGAUAGAAGCUUUGAAAUCAGUGCAUCAGAUAAAAAGAAGAAACAGGAAUGGAUUCAAGUUAUUGAAAUGUGCCUCUUGCAUAUACGGCUGGGGCUGCAGUCUCCUCAUCGUGACGCUCGACUACGGCGCAGGGGGCUCAGGCAACAAAAACAGGCAGAGGAGGAAUUCUUGGUGGAGACUAUGAAG